rnacentral:lncRNA from 1 species
CCUGUGGUCCUGUAGGUGAUGUGAAUGAAAAGUCUGAAGUUUCACUUCCCUUUGACUGUUCUGAUCACGGAUCGCCGCCUUUGGAGAGGAGUCAUGGAUUUCUCGAUGGCAUUCAAGAUCCACUUUCUCGGAUUUUUCUGUUUCUUGGCGAUUUUCUCUGUUCUUUCCGUGUUCCGACGAAACUUCACCGCUCAAGUCCCUUUGGAGUACUUUGUUUAUGGAAAAACCUUUGGUGCGGAGCAGAUGUUCCUAAGUGAUCUUCGCAAGUGUUCGGUGAAUAUGUUGCCUCGGCCUGUACAGGAGGAAAGUGUUUCUUCUCUGCCACUCUUGGUCUUCUGUGUGAACGCGACACGAGUUGGAACCGACACCACAGCUGCACUCGCAAAGUGUGAGAUGGUUUGUGGAAGAAGAUCGGUCAUCAUGGUGGUGAUGAAUCAUGUUCCGAGUUGUGCCACGUACAAGAACCCUCAUAGCUACGCAAAUGUCCAACAACAGAACGUAUUGGCCACAUAUGACUGUUUCUUCUCUGAAAGGAAAGGAUUGCACAGGUGUGAAGAGAACAACAAGGUGGUGAGCCAAGUGAGGGAUUUAAUCAAAGGGAGAACGUCCCGCUUGGCUUCAGCACUGCAGCACGUCUGCUCCCCAUGUGCAGAAUCACAUGGUUCACGCCACAGCCGCAUAACCUCCACAGCACCACGCUUCAUCGGCCCAGGUGCAAGUUUGAGUUUGAGUUCAGAUCGCGUGCCUGUGAAACCUUCGCACCGCACACACAUUAACAAACGAGGUCCCGCCCAGUCAGCUGAGAGGGUGUGGCCUGAAGAAGUGAGCGCCGGAAAGGCGAAGGUGGGACUGAGAGGUGGUGCGAUCGGCAGUAAGAGGAACUGCCUGAGCCACGAUACGGGCGAUCGGCAGUAAGAGUGACUGCCUGCUUUGUCGAGUCUGCCUUCUGCUGGAUGAGAGGCUGCUGGAGUCGAGUCUGGAGUCGGCUUUGAGGCGAGCGAGCGCCGGAUCGGCAGUAAGAGGAACUGCCUGAGCCACGAGAAGCGGCGCGCCCAAAAAGAAAGGAGAAGUGAAACUGCAGUCGGCUGAGAGGCGACAGGGAGACUGAGACUGGCCGAGUCUGCCAUUUGGCAGUGGGAGAGGCCGCCUGCACGUCGGGUCGGGCGAUCGACUUUGUGGAGGAGUGGUUUUGGCCGGCGGUGCCUCCUCGGCCACAGACCCAACCUGCAGAGCCCAACACCUCGAUUUGGCCUGAUCUGUUGAACAGGCCAGGCCUGGACUUGUAUGCUGGACCUUGUGAAAAGCCAGCUGGAGCAUACCACAGAUCUUUCGUCUUUGGCCGUCGACCUUACGCGGGGUCUGAACGCGCCGUGGCUGCGUGCGUGAGGGCUGCGACAAAUGGACACGCCGCCAUUUUGCCACGCGGCGUGUUUGAGCUUGGGUGCUCGAAUCCGUGGACAUCGGCUUGUCACGAGCCACAUUCCUGCUUUUCACACUUUUCCUCUCGUCUAUGAAGCAUCACCAA